GUGGGAAACCGUCCGUUAGAACAUCCCAGCUAGUCAUUGUAUCGUCGUUUGGGAAGGUAUCGUUGUAAAUAUCGUUUGUCUCGCAGUUAAUUCUCUGCUUAAUUCUUCUUCAGCGUUCGCUUCU